rnacentral:rRNA from 1 species
GCCUACGGGAGGCAGCAGUAGGGAAUAUUGCUCAAUGGGGGAAACCCUGAAGCAGCAACGCCGCGUGGAGGAUGAAGGUUUUCGGAUUGUAAACUCCUUUUGUUAGAGAAGAUAAUGACGGUAUCUAACGAAUAAGCACCGGCUAACUACGUGCCAGCAGCCGCGGUAAUACGUAGGGUGCAAGCGUUAUCCGGAUUUACUGGGUGUAAAGGGCGAGUAGACGGCGUUGCAAGUCAGAUGUGAAAGGCUAGGGCUCAACCUUAGGAGAGCAUCUGAAACUGUAAUGCUAGAGUGCAGGAGAGGUA